rnacentral:rRNA from 1 species
UACGUAGGGUGCAAGCGUUAAUCGGAAUUACUGGGCGUAAAGCGUGCGCAGGCGGUUUUGUAAGCCAGAUGUGAAAUCCCCGGGCUUAACCUGGGAAUGGCAUUUGGGACUGCAAGGCUCGAGUGCGGCAGAGGAGACUGGAAUUCCUGGUGUAGCAGUGAAAUGCGUAGAGAUCGGGCGGAACACCCGUGGCGAAGGCGGCCGACUGGGCCGGCCCUGACGCUGAGGCGGCGAAGGCGUGGGGAGCGAACGGG